CGUCCUUCUGCUGGAGCUGGGCUCUUCUUUGGUGCAUAUUGCCAGAGCAGCAACGGGCCCCUGACACAUCUGCAGUUUGCAGGCUACCGCUGGGGUGUUUCUUCUGCUUGAGGAGGCGUUCUGUGGGGUGGCAGCUCUGGGAAGGAGCAGGGUACGAGGGGAGCACGAGGCUGCAAAGCCCACCUUCACAGAAUCACAGAAUCACGGAAUGGUUGAGGCUGGAAGGGAUCUCUGGAGGCCAUCUGGUCCAACCCCCCUGGCUCAAGCUGGGCCACCGAGAUCAGAUUGCCUAGGAUCAUGUCCAACAACUUUUAAAAGUCUCCAUGGAAGGGAGAUUCCACAGCCUCACUGGGUAAAAUGCUGCUAUAAAGGGUAGCAGCUGUGGGGAGUGAGGGGAACCCUGUUGCCACUCCUGCAGGUGCCUUCACAGGUGCAAGGGAAGGAUGAACCUUGCUCAGGACUUCCUUCCCAAAGUAGGUGCAUGUGCCCCUUAUAAU